rnacentral:rRNA from 1 species
AUGUGGAAUUGUGGAUCAUUGCAAGUGGUUGGCACCUCUGUGGGGUGGGGUGGUGCCUGCCCUCCUGGAUGUACAUGCACUUCCUACCUACACAACCGACCAUCCUCCCUUAGCCCUCAUACAGUUCCUUCCUCCGCCGCACUAGUAGGAUAUAGAGACGUUUUCCUCCAGCAGAAACGGGAAGCCAAACCCCCAAAGGACACUCUCAAUCCUCUCGUCCGUUCCCCACUCCACUCCACCACAAUGGCGUCGCCGGCCAUGGAGUCGCAGGCGAACCUCCCGGACCACCUGACGGAGGACAUCCUCCUCCGCCGACCUCGCCCGCGCCUCCAUGGCCGGCCCCUCCCUCCGCCGCAUCGUCGCCGACCACUCCUUCCUCCGUCGCUUCCGCACACUCCACCCGCCGCCUCUCCUGGGUAUACUCUCGGACUCGAACCCCUUCCUCCCAGGCUCCCAGCCCAGCCGCCCCACCCCUCCGCCGCCGCCGCCCGAACCCUCGCCGACACCGACUUCUCCUGCUCCUUCCUCCCCUCCUGCGAGCGGCCCUGGAUUCGUCACGACUUCCGCGACGGCCGCGCCCUCUUCUGCGUCGCCCCCGACGGCGACGACCGCGCCCUGGUGAGGGAGGUGGCCGUGUGCGACCCGCUGCACCGGCGCUACCUCCCGUCCCGCAGGACCUACGAGGGCGCUGACAUUGCUGCGGACGCUCCCUUGAGAUUCAGAGUCAUGUGCUUGGCCAAAUACCAGACCCAGCUGGUCAUAUUCGUCUUCUCUUCGUCGGGGGGCUGUGCCGGACCAUGGCACGCCAUCCCAUUUGAUGGUUGGAGCGCUCUGGUCGCAGGAAUCAGUGACCAUGCGUUCGGAAGGCGCUACUACGCGCACGGAAGCUUCUGUUGGGCGAUUCCUGGGAUCGACAAGUUGCUCAUGCUCGACACUGGUACCAUGGAGUUCUCCUCCCUCAACCUCGGUCCUGAUCUCCAGGGUCGUCAGGUGGCCUUUGUGGAGGCAAAGGAAGGGAGCCUUGGGAUCUAUUACAUCCUUGGUGUAGCUGGGGGAUACUUACUCCUACAUGGGUCCCCGGACGAUGACCCGGACACAUUCCCUUUGUUUGAACCGCCAGAGCCCAACUGCUUUUCACUGAAUCUCCAGACUUUGAAGGUUGAGCGCUUCUGUGGGACUGAUCUCAUGAUGCCAUUGCGGGGCCUACUGUAUGCGGGUUUCCCGCCAUCCUUGUCUCCACCAACUAUUUGA